UGCCACCACCUCACACACCACCUUUCAUUUGUCCUGUUCAUUACUAGACCUUCCUCUCAUGUUUUUGAAUUUAACUGUAACAAAUACACAGGGAAUCAAAUGCAUACUGGCUCUGAACUGACCAAAAAAUACCAAACAUCAUUAGACAGGGCAGAGGUGGUGGACCUGAGCAGGAUUGGGUCUUGAUUUCCCCUCUGCCUCCCCUCCCAGAGGGAUGCUGAGCUCUUGCUUAAACAAGCGGCAGCGAGUAGGAGAUGCUGACCUUCAGCCCGAACAGCACGAGCCGAGGAGGGAGCAAGCUCUGCCAACACAGAUGCACCUUAAAAAUUGAACUUUGGCUUCAAGCAGCACAAACACACGUCCUGAUUGUACCUCGUACUGCCCGUUAAGUCGCCCAGAUGACACUCAGUCUGGUGUUAAUAAGCCAUUUGUCCAUCUGGUGCUUGUACAAACAUGCCUUCUCAAUGGUAUUUCAAAAGUGACAAGUAUUAACUCUACAAAUGUCUGAAAAGAAAUUCCACAAAAAUCAACACCAAACUGUUGUUGCCAAACAUGGAUGUGACAAGAGCCAAACUGCACUGCGUAAAUCCUAACGUGCCUGCGCUGAUCCCAAGAAAGUGCUUAUUUGCAAAGUUUUCACUGGGAGAAAUCAAGAGCAGCAGCCGCUCACUUGACAUUGCACGAACUAAACAAUAAACAAGUACUGAGCACCUCCAGCCUCCAUACAGCACCAGCACUCUGACAACCCAG